rnacentral:rRNA from 1 species
AGAGUUUGAUCCUGGCUCAGGAUGAACGCUGGCGGUCUGCUUAACACAUGCAAGUCGAACGCAACCUUCGGGUUGAGUGGCGGACGGGUGAGUAACGCGUGAGAAUCUGCCUUAGGGUCGGGGACAACCACUGGAAACGGUGGCUAAUACCGGAUAAGCCGAUUGGUGAAAGAUUUAUUGCCCGAAGAGGAGCUCGCGUCUGAUUAGCUAGUUGGUGAGGUAAGAGCUCACCAAGGCAGCGAUCAGUAGCUGGUCUGAGAGGACGAUCAGCCACACUGGGACUGAGACACGGCCCAGACUCCUACGGGAGGCAGCAGUGGGGAAUUUUCCGCAAUGGGCGAAAGCCUGACGGAGCAAGACCGCGUGAGGGAGGAAGGCUCUUGGGUUGUAAACCUCUUUUCUCAGGGAAGAAGCUCUGACGGUACCUGAGGAAUCAGCCUCGGCUAACUCCGUGCCAGCAGCCGCGGUAAUACGGAGGAGGCAAGCGUUAUCCGGAAUUAUUGGGCGUAAAGCGUCCGCAGGUGGCGAUUCAAGUCUGCUGUCAAAGCACGGGGCUUAACUCCGUUAAGGCAGUGGAAACUGAAGAGCUAGAGUGCCGUA